GCGUAUGGGCCGGCAUGCUUUAACAUGCAAGUCGAACGGCAGCGCGGGGCAACCUGGCGGCGAGUGGCGAACGGGUGAGUAAUAUAUCGGAACGUACCCAGAAGUGGGGGAUAACGUAGCGAAAGUUACGCUAAUACCGCAUACGAUCUACGGAUGAAAGUGGGGGCUCGCAAGACCUCAUGCUUUUGGAGCGGCCGAUAUCUGAUUAGCUAGUAGGUGAGGUAAAGGCCUACCUAGGCGACGAUCAGUAGCUGGUCUGAGAGGACGACCAGCCACACUGGGACUGAGACACGGCCCAGACUCCUACGGGAGGCAGCAGUGGGGAAUUUUGGACAAUGGGCGCAAGCCUGAUCCAGCAAUGCCGCGUGAGUGAAGAAGGCCUUCGGGUUGUAAAGCUCUUUUGUCAGGGAAGAAACGGCUUGGGUUAAUACCCUGGGCUAAUGACGGUACCUGAAGAAUAAGCACCGGCUAACUACGUGCCAGCAGCCGCGGUAAUACGUAGGGUGCAAGCGUUAAUCGGAAUUACUGGGCGUAAAGCGUGCGCAGGCGGUUUUGUAAGUCUGACGUGAAAUCCCCGGGCUUAACCUGGGAAUUGCGUUGGAGACUGCAAGGCUGGAGUCUGGCAGAGGGGGGUAGAAUUCCACGUGUAGCAGUGAAAUGCGUAGAGAUGUGGAGGAACACCGAUGGCGAAGGCAGCCCCCUGGGUCAAGACUGACGCUCAUGCACGAAAGCGUGGGGAGCAAA
rnacentral:rRNA from 1 species